rnacentral:rRNA from 1 species
UCUUACGGGGGGCAGCAGUAGGGAAUCUUCCACAGUGGACGAAAGUCUGAUGGAGCAACGCCGCGUGAACGAGGAAGGUCUUCGGAUCGUAAAGUUCUGUUGAAGGGGAAAAAGAGCGGAGAGAGGAAAUGGUCUCCGAUUGAUAUUACCCUUCGAGGAAGUCACGGCUAACUACGUGCCAGCAGCCGCGGUAAUACGUAGGUGGCGAGCGUUAUCCGGAAUGAUUGGGCGUAAAGGGUGCGUAGGCGGCCUGCUAAGUCUGGAGUGAAAGGUACCGGCUCAACCGGUACAGGCUCUGGAAACCG